UACGUAGGGGGCAAGCGUUGUCCGGAUUUAUUGGGCGUAAAGAGCGUGUAGGCGGCUUGGUAGGUCCGCUGUGAAAACUCGAGGCUCAACCUCGAGAUGUCGGCGGAAACCACUUGGCUAGAGUCCGGAAGAGGAGAGUGGAAUUCCCGGUGUAGCGGUGAAAUGCGCAGAUAUCGGGAAGAACACCUACGGCGAAGGCAGCUCUCUGGGACGGUACUGACGCUGAGACGCGAAAGCGUGGGGAGCGAACAGG
rnacentral:rRNA from 1 species